UGGUUUAAAAUAUUUUAAAGACAAAGUUAAACAUUAAGAUGUAAAAAUAUAUUAAAAAAAUCUAGUAUAUCAGAAUCUUCCCCUCCCACCAUUCCCCGUGCAUAAAAUGUAAGAAACAAUCACAGAGAAAAUAUCUUGUGGCUUAUAAUAAAUAUCAUAAAAUACUUUUUCUAUAUUUAAUGGCAAACGAUGGGAAAUAAUUCCACUAAGUUUGGAGUUAUCCCCCCUUAAAUAUAACCCUUCUUGACAAAUUUGAAUGUGAACAUCUGAUCGUUGUUGUGUUUUGGCACUAGAGGGCACUUCAUUCCUUUAGGUCAGUAAUUCCCAACCUGAGGUUGCUGCUAGGAUUCUUCUGGUUCUGCAUGUACCCCAAGAAUUAUUAUGAGUAAUUAUUCUGGUUAAGUUGAUCAUAUAUUGUUUAGGAUAGGUUAGCUCUGAUUAAGUAGUCUUUUGUUCAAAGACAAUGUAGCUACGACCAUCUUGUCUUUUUAGGUAUAGUUUAGUCAGCAUGUUUACUUUCUAAGAUAUUAAUCAAUGAUUUGAUAGAAG